GUUGUGGUUUACCGGAGAGUUGAGACGCCUCGUCGGCGGUAAGCAAGGCGGCGAAGCCAUUGAUGCUAUGCUUAUAGCUAUAAAGGAGGGAUGAUCUUGCUCCCUCUUCAAACUUUUUGAUUGAAAAUAGGAUAAGAGAAAACUGAAGCUCUCUCUGUCCCACUUUCAAAAGAAAAUUUGGGGAUACGUGGUUUGCCUUGAUCGUGAUGAUGAUGAUGAUUGUUCUACGGUUGUUUCCAGUGUCAUUGUUUCAAUAUCGUUUAAGUCUAAUCACAGUUGUUUGAAAUUCAUACAAUCUGCUGCGAGUUAUUAUAG